UUUUUUACAUCUAGGUGCUAUGCAAAAAUAACACCUUAGACUUGGUCUCUGACUUAUAAACAUUUAAGUCUGAGGCAAUUCUGACACUGAUCUACCUACAGACUAAAAUCUGAUGGCUCACGUCAGACAAUAAGCUAAGGAUGUUAUACCAAGACCUCAUGCCUUAGAUUGGUUCUCACGCUUGAUUUUUUGAAAGUUGAAGUGUCA
rnacentral:lncRNA from 1 species